GAUGAACGCUGGCGGCGUGCCUAAUACAUGCAAGUCGAACGCGCAGCGAGAGGUGCUUGCACCUUUCAAGCGAGUGGCGAACGGGUGAGUAACAUGUGGAUAACCUGCCUCAAGGCUGGGGAUAACAUUUGGAAACAGAUGCUAAUACCGAAUAAAACUUAGUAUCGCAUGAGAUCAAGUUAAAGAGCGCUACGGCGCCACCUAGAGAUGGAUCCGCGGUGCAUUAGUUAGUUGGUGGGGUAAAGGCUUACCAAGACGAUGAUGCAUAGCCGAGUUGAGAGACUGAUCGGCCACAUUGGGACUGAGACACGGCCCGAACUACUACGGGAGGCUGCAGUAGGGAAUCUUCCACAAUGGGCGCAAGCCUGAUGGAGCAACGCCGCGUGUGUGAUGAAGGCUUUCGGGUCGUAAAGCACUGUUGUAUGGGAAGAAAUGCUAAAAUAGGGAAUGAUUUUAGUUUGACGGUACCAUACCAGAAAGGGACGGCUAUAUACGUGCCAGCAGCCGCCGUAA
rnacentral:rRNA from 1 species